AGUGAACGCUGGCGGCGUGCCUAAUACAUGCAAGUCGAACGAGUGGCGCACGGGUGAGUAAUGCUAGGGAAUCUAGCUUAUGGAGGGGGCUAACUACGGGAAACUGUAGCUAAUACCGCGUACCAUAGGAUGAGCCCAAGUGGGAUUAGGUAGUUGGUGAGGUAAAGGCGCACCAAGCCGACGAUCUCUAGCUGGUCUCAGCGGAGGACCAGCCACACUGGCACUGGGACACGGUCCAGACUCCUACGUGAGGCAGCAGUGGGGAAUAUUGUACAAUGGGCGCCAGCCUGAGGCAGCCAUGCGGCGUGUAUGAAGAAGGCCUUCGGGUUGUAAAGUACUUUCAGCGGGGAGGCGUUACCCGCAGAAGAAGCACCGGCUAGCUCCGUGCCAGCAGCGGCGGUAAUAC
rnacentral:rRNA from 1 species